rnacentral:rRNA from 1 species
CCUACGGGAGGCAGCAGUGAGGAAUUUUCCGCAAUGGGCGAAAGCCUGACGGAGCAAUACCGCGUGAGGGAUGAAGGAUUUUGGUCUGUAAACCUCUUUUCUCAAGAAAGAAGUUCUGACGGUACUUGAGGAAUAAGCAUCGGCUAACUCCGUGCCAGCAGCCGCGGUAAUACGGGGGAUGCAAGCGUUAUCCGGAAUGAUUGGGCGUAAAGCGCCUGUAGGUUGUUUAUUAAGUCCGUUGUUAAAGCCUAGGGCUUAACCCUAGAAAAGCAAUGGAAACUAGUAGACUAGAGUAUGGCAGGGGUAGAGGGAAUUUCUAGUGUAGCGGUGAAAUGCGUAGAUAUUAGAAAGAACACCGGUGGCGAAAGCGCUCUACUGGACCAUUACUGACACUCAGAGGCGAAAGCUAGGGUAGCAAAAGGGAUUAGAUACCCCUGUAGUCCUAGCCGUAAACGAUGGAUACUAGAUGUUGUGCAUAUAGUACUAGUAUACGCAGACUACGUACGUUAAGUAUACCGUCCGUCGGGUAGGUACGUCGUCGCGACGGUAGGUAACGUAACGAAGUAAGUAGACGCGNGAGACGCGACGACGACGACGACGGAGGAGGAG